rnacentral:rRNA from 1 species
UUCGGAUUGUAGUCUGCAACCCGGCUACAUGAAGCUGGAAUCGCUAGUAAUCGCAGAUCAGAAUGCUGCGGUGAAUACGUUCCCGGGUCUUGUACACACCGCCCGUCACACCAUGGGAGUCGGAAAUGCCCGAAGUCGGUGACCCAACCGCUUACGGAGGGAGCUGCCGAAGGCAGGUCUGGUGACUGGGGUGAAGUCGUAACAAGGUAAC